rnacentral:ncRNA from 13 species
UCGGUAGCUCAGCUGGUUAGAGCGCACGACUCAUAAUCGUGAGGUCGGGAGUUCAAGUCUCCCCCGA